GACGAACGCUGGCGGCGUGCUUAACACAUGCAAGUCGAGCGGUAAGGCCCUUUCGGGGGGUACACGAGCGGCGAACGGGUGAGUAACACGUGGGUGACCUGCCCUCAGCUCUGGGAUAAGCCCGGGAAACUGGGUCUAAUACCGGAUAUGACUCCAUGACGCAUGUUGUGGGGUGGAAAGCCAUGGCGCAAGCGAUGGCGCACGACGAGGGGUUCGCGGCCUAUCAGCUAGGUUGGGGGGGCACGGCCUCCCAAGGCGACGACGGGUAGCUGGUCUGAGAGGAUGGCCAGCCACA
rnacentral:rRNA from 1 species